GUAAUCCCAGCCGGUGUGUACAAAUGGGCGACGCCAUAUUGUACGGUAGCUGCUCGGGCAGCUGUGCCCGCCCCAGUUUCUCCAGUGCUGAACAAAGGAUCUGUUAAAAUUGGAAAGGCUAUCGUCUCUUCAGAAAAGGAUUAUAUUGCCUCCUGUAAAGGAAAAGAAGUUCUAAGUUCCUUUAGGUAAGUACCCAUAAGGGGGAAAUUUAUGGCAUAUGUAGAGGAUUAACUCCCUGCAUUUUAAUCUGCUCCAUCCAGAAACAUCUAAAAUAACAAAAAAGUUAAAAGGAAAUGCAAAUUAAAACCACAAUGAGAGACCAUAUCCACCAGAAAGACUAAAAUGAAAAAGACACAAAACGCCAAGGAUUGACAAGGUUGUGGAGCAACCAGAGCUCUCAUAUGCUUCUGAGGGUAAAUAAAUGGGUACCAUCACUUUGUUAAACUGUUUGGCAGGAUCAACUAAAGCUAAAUAUAUGCAUAGCCUCUGUCCCAACAGUUUCACUCCUAGGUAUAAGCCCAACAAAAAUGUGUACAUAUGUUCACUGAACAGACAUAUACAAAAAAACCCAUACUCAUGUUGGCAACGGCCCUAAACUGGAAACUACCCAAAUAUCCAUGCUGUUAGAAGUCAACGUAGAGUAAUGACUCUGGAAGAGAGCAUGAGGAGGCUCAUGAAGUGCUGAUAACGUUCUGUUUCUUAAUCUGAGUGCUGGUUUACGUGUGUGUUCACAUUACAUAUUUGUGGACACUUUCCUGGAUGCAUAUACACUUCAAUAAAAAGUUUUUUUUUUUUUUUUAAAUGAAAGUAAAGGAGUGAAAAGUUUAUAAACCCAAAGAAGAAAAAGAAUAGGAAUGGAGAGGGGCACCUGGGUGGCUCAGUUGGUUAAGCAUCCGACUUCGGCUCAGGUCAUGAUCUCAUAGCUCGUGAGUUCGAGCCCCACAUCGGGCUCUGUGCUGACAGCUCGGAGCCUGGAGCCUCCUUCAGAUUCUGUGUCUCCCUCUCUCUCUGCUCCAACCCACUUGCAUUCUGUCUCUGUCUCUCUCAAAAAUAAAUAAACAUUAAAAAAGAAUUUAAAAAUAAGAAUAGGAAUGGAGUUAAUAGCAGACAAAUCUCAGUGUAAUUUUAUAAGACAUAAAUUUGAUUGGAAUGACAGAAUAUUGACAUUUGAGGAAUCCCAUUGAGGAGGAGCAGAAUACAUGACACCAACAUAUGCCAUUUUGACAUGUGGAUUAUUUUGAACUAAAGGCAAUUAAGACCCAACAGGUUUAAGGAAAAGUUUUACCUGUCUUUUAACUACAUAAAGAAUUUAAAAUGGGGGUCUGGCUCAGAAAGAGACUUAUUACCAGAGAUAACUUUUAAUAACUUUUAAUGUACGGCAGGGCAAAUAUCUAAUUACCAAAUACCUGCUCUUCUUAUUGUCCUGGGAGUUCCCCUCCUCCCAUUUGAAUCCCCAGGCCUAUUCUAUUCUAUUCUAUUCUAUUCUAUUCUAUUCUAUUCUAUUCUAUUCUUUAACUUAAGAUGGCAUUUAAGCCUCAAUUGCCUGACUUGUCCUUGGGUCUCAUUCUUAUAGGACUCUCAAUUUGUUUUCUUCUGUUAAUCUGUCUUAUGUCAGUUUAAUUAAUAGACCAGCUAGAAGAAUCUAGAAGGGUAGAGGAAACAAAUUUUCCUCCCAUACACCAUAAUAAAUUGUCUGGGUCCUACAUUGAAGUUCCAACCCAACAAGCCCCAUCUGUGCAUAAAGGAUUCCCAGUCAGCUUUUUAGUACCUCAUUCUUUGUCUUAGUCUGUGUAGACUAUUGUAACACAAUGCCAUUGACUAGGUGGCUUAUAAACAAUAGGAAUUUAGGGGUGCCUGGGUGGCUUAGUCUGUUAUGCGUCCAACUUCAGCUCAGGUCAUGAUCUCACCAUUUGGGAGUUUGAGCCUUGUGUUAGGUUCUGUGCUGACAGCUCAGAGCCUGAAGCCUGCUUCGGAUUCUCUGUCUUCCUUUCUCUCUGCCCCUCCCCUGCUCAUGCUUUGUCUCUCAAAAAUAAAUAAACAUUGAAAAAAAAACCCAGAAAUUUAUUUCUCAUAGUUUUGGGGCAGGGAAGUCCAUGAUCAAGGUGCUGACAGCUUUUUUUUGUCUGGUGAGUGCCUGCCACCUAGUUUAUAGACUGCUGUCUUUUCAUUGUGCCCUCACUUGGCCAAGAGAUAAGGAGCUCUUGUGGGCUUCUUUUAUAAGUCGCUAAUUUCAUUCAUGAGGUUCCACUCCCAUGACCUAAUCACCUCCCAAAGUCCCCACCUCCUGAUAUCAUUAUACUGGAAGUUAGUUUUCAGCAUAUGGAUUUUGAGAAGACACAAAACAUUCAGUCAAUAACAUCUACAUAGGUAAAUAUAUCCAAGAAACACCAGUCAUUGCUGGAGUAUCUCCAACACCAUUAAUUAACAGUUUCUAAGGAACACAUAUAGAACCCUGCAUCCAGCAUUUUGAGAACACAAAUACUUUUAAAACUUAUCAGGAAGGGGAUGGGCUAAAUGGGUGAUGCCAUUAAGGAGGGCACUUGUUGGGAUGAGCACUGGGUGUCAUAUGUAAGUGACAAAUCACUGGGUUCUACUCCUGAAACUAAUAGAACAUUGUUAACUAACUUGAAUUUAAAUAAAGUAAUUAAAAAAAAAUAAAGGACAAUGAAGCAGCAACAAAAAAACAAAACAAAACUUACAAAGAAGACUUAAGAAAAUUAACUUUUAUUUAGGCCAUUGAGCAAUUUACUACAAAUUGCAUAAAAUUGCUAUCAUACAGAUCUCAUUCUCUGAUCUUAGUACAAUUAAGCUAGAAGUCAAUAACAAAAUUAUUUUUAAAACUCUAUAUAUUUGAAGAUUUUAAAAAAUCUUAAUAACUGAAAGAUCAAAAAAAAAUCCCAGUGGAAAUAAAGUUAUAAUAAUAUAUUUGAGAGGUAAUAAAAAUACUAUAUAUGAAAAUUUAUAGGAUGCAGGCAAAUUAAUAACCUUAUAUGCUUUUACACUCUAAAAUAAGAAAAACUAAAAAUUAAAUAUAUAAGUGAUCAUCCUAAUACAGUAGAAGAAACAAAAAACAUAAAUCCAAAAUAGUAGGAAGGAAGAAGAUAAAAAUCAGAGAAUAAAUAAAUAAAAUAGAAAAAGAUGUGAUAGAUGAACAAAAGAACUAAAGUUAGAUAUUUGAAAAGACUAAUAAAACAAGUUCCUGUGAGAUUGAUCUAGAUAAAAGAGAAGUAGCAACAAAUAAAUAAUGUUUAUUUAAGGGGGGAUAUAAAAUAAGCAGAGAUUUAAGAAACUGCAAAAUAUGAUGAACAACUUUAUGCCAAAAAAAUGAUUAGACAAGAGAAUGAAAAGAUAGGCCACAGAUUGAGAGGAUACAUCUGCAAACACUUAUCUAAUAAAAGACUAUUACCCAGAAUAUACAAGGAAAUUUUGAAACUCAACAACCCAAUUAAAAAGUAACCAAAAGUGGGGCUCCUGGAUGGCUCAGUUGGUUAAGUGUCCCACUUCAGCUCAGGUCAUGGUCUCAUAGUUUGUGAGUUUGAACCCCAUAUCAGGUGAGCUCGACCCCUUCAGGAUUCUCUCUCUCCCUCUCUCUCUGCCCCUCACUCACCCUUGUGCUCUCUCUCUCUCUCUC